GAUGAACGCUGGCGGCGUGCCUAAUACAUGCAAGUCGAGCGAACGGACGAGAAGCUUGCUUCUCUGAUGUUAGCCGCGGACGGGAGAGUAACACGUGGAUAACCUACCUAUAAGACUGGUAUAACUUCGGGAAACCGUAGCUAAUACCGGAUAAUAUUUUGAACCGCAUGGUUCAAAAGUGAAAGACGGUCUUGCUGUCACUUAUAGAUGGAUCCGCGCUGCAUUAGCUAGUUGUUAAGGUCACGGCUUACCAAGGCAACGAUGCAUAGCCGACCUGAGAGGGUGAUCGGCCACACUGGAACUGAGACACGGUCCAGACUCCUGCGGGAGGCAGCAGUAGGGAAUCUUCCGCAAUGGGCGAAAGCCUGACGGAGCAACGCCGAGUGAGUGAUGAAGGUCUUCGGAUCGUAAAACUCUGUUAUUAGGGAAGAACAUAUGUGUGAGUAACUGUGCACAUCUUGACGGUACCUAAUCAGAAAGCCACGGCUAACUACGUG
rnacentral:rRNA from 1 species